rnacentral:rRNA from 1 species
GAUGAACGCUGGCGGCGUGCUUAACACAUGCAAGUCGAGCGAGAAAUCGCAGAAGGAAGCUUCGGUAGAAUUCUGUGAUGGAAAGCGGCGGACGGGUGAGUAACGCGUGGGAAACCUGCCCUUGACAGGGGGACAGCCGAGGGAAACUUCGAUUAAUACCCCAUAACGCAGAGAGACCGCAUGGUCAUUCUGCCAAAGAAUUAUCGGUCAGGGAUGGUCCCGCGUCUGAUUAGCUGGUUGGUGAGGCAGCGGCUCACCAAGGCGACGAUCAGUAGCCGGCCUGAGAGGGUGAACGGCCACAUUGGAACUGAGACACGGUCCAGACUCCUACGGGAGGCAGCAGUGGGGAAUAUUGCACAAUGGGCGCAAGCCUGAUGCAGCAACGCCGCGUGAAGGAGGAAGGCCUUCGGGUCGUAAACUUCUGUCCAAAGGGAAGAAGAAUGACGGUACCUUUGGAGGAAGCCCCGGCUAACUACGUG